rnacentral:rRNA from 1 species
UCGAGCGAGCUUGCCUAGAUGAUUUUAGUGCUUGCACUAAAUGAAACUAGAUACAAGCGAGCGGCGGACGGGUGAGUAACACGUGGGUAACCUGCCCAAGAGACUGGGAUAACACCUGGAAACAGAUGCUAAUACCGGAUAACAACACUAGACGCAUGUCUAGAGUUUGAAAGAUGGUUCUGCUAUCACUCUUGGAUGGACCUGCGGUGCAUUAGCUAGUUGGUAAGGUAACGGCUUACCAAGGCAAUGAUGCAUAGCCGAGUUGAGAGACUGAUCGGCCACAUUGGGACUGAGACACGGCCCAAACUCCUACGGGAGGCAGCAGUAGGGAAUCUUCCACAAUGGACGAAAGUCUGAUGGAGCAACGCCGCGUGAGUGAAGAAGGGUUUCGGCUCGUAAAGCUCUGUUGGUAGUGAAGAAAGAUAGAGGUAGUAACUGGCCUUUACUUGACGGUAAUUACUUAGAAAGUCACGGCUAACUACGUG